ACCCCGCUCUGCCCGCCGGAUCCACAGCGUCCCAUUCUGCACCUGGGGAAGAAGUUCGUGAGUUCGGUCCCUUCCCACCGGCCUCAGACGCUGUGCUUCCCAAUCUGGCCAGCAGAGGGCGGCAGCAACCCAGACUCGGGGAGGUUGGUGGGGGGCUAAGGUGCAGUCCGUCUCCCAACCUGCCCUUUGGCUCCUCCGCCUUUCAGCCCCAUUCCCAGGCCCCCACCUGUCCCUCGCCUCUGUCUGGCCCACCCCACCCAGCCCAGGGCCCAAGUGCACCUGGCCGUGGCCAAGUUCCUGUCCGCGGAGCUUCCAAGUCACUCGAGGCUGGGGGCUCCCGCGGGCCACACAACGCAGGGUCACAGGCUCCAGUUCCCGCACUUCCAGCACCGGGGGAGGAGUCUCCUGGAAUUGAGGGGGCGCUGCGGGGGAGAGAGGCGUGAGGAGCUGCCAGGGAGGCCAUCAGCCGGAAGAGCACGUCGGAGAGCCAGGGAACCUGACCACUAGGGGCUCAGCCUCAGUCCCUCAGUUUGCCCAGCUUCACAGGAACUCCGGCCCAGGGCCACCCUGUCUGCUGUACCCAGAGCCAGCCCAUGUCCACACACUGGCCUGCCGAGCUGGGGCUGAGCACAGGCUGGGUGUUUAGAGCAAAAGGGAGAGCUGGGUGCCCUCAGGAGAGCACUGUUCCAGAAGUCAGGAGGCCUGGGAUCUAGGCUCUGCUCUGGCACUAAUCAGUGGCCUGACCUAGCCUUUCCGUGCCCCAGUCUCCUGGUCUAUGAAAUGGGAAUAAGUAUGACCUCUCUCCUUCUUAGGGUUGAGAGUGAAUUAAUGAAGUAUUGGGUGAAAAGAUGUUUUGAAAAAAUCAAAAGUGUUGUAUGUAUGUGACCUAUGGUUCACUCAGGGCCCAACUCCACCCUCUAACUGUCCUCUUAUGGCAAGGAAGGCAGGAGCUGGGCAGAGGGGAAAGAAGAGGAAGCUCCUGACACAGUCUGGAGCCUGGAGCCUGGAAGGCUGACUGGAGCUAGAUUUGAAGAACUGAAAAGGCAGGGGGAUGCAAAAACUUCAUACAAUUGACUGUGAGGUGCACCCAGGAGCCGUUAGCAAAGUCGUCCUCCGGGCGGUGCUGGUCCAGGAAGAGCACGCGGCACUCGUACCAGCCCUGGUCUUCUGCGCGGAGCCCUUCGAUCUGGAGUGACGCCCCCUUCUCCAGCCGGACGCGCCCUGGGGGAGGAGCCCUGAAUCAGGAGUUCUCUGUACCACCAUGCACCAGCUCACCCUACCAGAAACCUAUCACCUGGACUCCUGCCUUCACCCCCCAUGUCUACUUGUUCAUCGUUGCUGUUAGCUGCUGCCAGGUCGAUUCCAACUCAUGGCGGCCCCAUGUGUGCAGAGAACUUUUUAAAUUCUAUCUUCUACAUAAUUUUUUCCUUCUCUACCACCUUCACCUUGGUGUAGACCUGUGAUAUCUCUCAUGUGGGUUAUUCCAAUAGUCUGCUCAUAGAUCUGCCUGCCUUCAGCCUCCUUCCUCUCUACAUUCAUCAGUUGCCCACUCCCACCCUGACCUUUGAUAGGGACAAAUGACAUUCUCUAAAUCUUAUGGGGUAUGCAAAUGCAGCUCCAAGCCAAGUCCCUUAGCAGUGUGCCCAUCCCAGCCAACCAGACUGAGGCCCUGAGCCUUCCUAAUACUGGUAAUUCUGACACUGCCAGUGCACGCGCCCCUCCCAUCUGCUCCCACUCUCCCUGCAGGGUGAUCCUUCUGAAUUAUAAUCCAAGCCUACGGUGCCCAAAUGUCAUCAGGGCAAGAAGAGGGCAAUGACCAAGUUGAGGCUAGCUUUGUGAUCUUAGGCAAGGGACUUAUCUCUUUCAGAAUGUAUUCCAGGGGUGUGGAUUCUCUAGAAUGGGUGGACCUGCUUAAAGGGCUAGGUGUUUAAAUCCCCACCCAGGAGAUAAGCACAGGCCUAGCAGGUAAAUAUUUAACACAAUCACAUGCUUCCACCCAUCAAUGGGAUUCCUCCGUAGCCCUAAUCUGCCUUGCCACAUGGCCCUGCACACCCCAGACUACAGCCUCUUCUAAGACCUAUAUGAUAGGAACUUUUCAAUAUGGUGAUCAUCAAGCUCUGCAAAGAAGGAAGGUGAGGGAAGGGAGAAUGAGCGUUCAACACGAGCCAUGCAAUAUCAGGCAUCAUCACCAUAUUUAAUUCUCACAAGAAUUCCAUUACAGACAAAGGAACUGAUAUUAAGUUUCCUUCCAAGGCCACAUGGCUAGCAAGGGACAAAGCCUGGCUUCCUUUCUCCAGAAGCAGUGCACUUUCCAUUGGACACUGGUGUUAGGAUCAGUUGAUGUUCAGUACAGUGUCAGCACUGAGCACAGUGUAGUAGCACUUGGGAGAUGUUGGUAGCCAAUGGGUAAUGGUCCCAAAUGGCUGUUAACCAAAAUAUCCAGUGAAGCAUACUGCAUGUCCUAACUUUUCUGUGAGAUAUGGAUUUCUAGACCUGUAGAUAGGAUCUCUGGGUGGUGCAAAUGGUUAAACACUCAGUUACUAAGCAAAAGGUUGGCAGUUCAAAUUCACCCAGAGCCGCCUUGGAAGAAAGGCUUUGUGAUCUACUUCCCAAAGAUUACAGCCAUUGAAAACCUCAUGGGGUGCAGUUCCACUCUGCAACACAUGGGGUCGCCAUGAGGCAGAACUGACUCAAGGGCAACUGGCAGUGUUACUGAUGAACAGGAAGACAGCCAAGGGCAGGCAGUCCUGGGUCCUCCAGAGUCCUGGGCCCACCUCCUGGAGACUCGCCUUCUACCUACAGGGCCAGAAUCUGAUGUUCUUUAGAUCUCCCUGCGUGGAGGGAUAUGUAAAGGAAAUCAGAAGGCAGGUAACCCAUAUUAUGUUUACACACGCAAGUUCACAUACACACAUACACACCUAAGUUCAAAAAAAUGGUGCUAACUGUGCCCAGCAUUCCAAGAGUCUGCGAAGCAAGAGGCGAAGGGAAGGCUUUCAGGAAGAUGCGAUUAUGCAGUGGGCUUUGAAGGGAAAAGGGAAGUAAGGGGAGAUUCCUACAUGGAGCCCCAAAGGGGAAAAUGAGAUACUGGAUUUUUGUCAAACAACUCAGGACAGAGCGAAGACUCACUUCCUUUCUACCAUGAGGGGCGUCUGCAGACUCCCAAGUAAUGCAGCACAAAAGUCAAAGAGCAGAGGCCCAUCCCAUGGGUUAGAAGAGGUGGUCUAAACUCCACACCAGGAGGGCUGGUGCAGAGUAAACCCAGCCUCUCUCUCCUCUGGAUGUCUGUGAUACGGUUCAGCCUACAUACCCGGCUGUCACCAUUUACCAAGCACUAUGGGCUGGGGUACCUUACAUGCGGUAGUUAUAUGAUUUGCACUCGUCUACUAACGGAACGGUUGGUGGUUUGAACCCCUUCAGUGGUUCCACACAGAAGAAAGGCCUGGUGAUCUGCUUCCAUAAAGAUGACAGCCAAGAAAACCCUAUGGAGCAGUACUACUCUGUAACACAUGGGAUCACCAUGAGUUGGAAUCGAUUCAGCGGCAACGGGGUAUGGUCAACCUAGUGCUAGUAUGUGGUCAUACCUUGCUUUAUGUUGCCUUUUACUACUUUUGUACUGUUCUACAAAUCCAGUGUCCUCUGCUAGAUGGACUCUAGAGCCCUCAAAGAUUGAAAGUGUCCCUUUCAGUGUAGCCCCUGAGGCUCCAAACGGUCUCUGUCACUGGUCCCUCAUACAUUCUAGGGCACUAGCCUCCCGCACAGUCCCAGGCCCAUCUCCCCCUCAAUUGCCCAGAGGAUUUAUGACAGUACAGCAUUGUCCAUUGCAACCUCCACCUCCCGUUGCUUAGCAACUGCAGUUCGGAGUCCCCUACACAAAGGCGGAGAGGCCCCUUCCACACUGUGAAGCAGAAAAAAGGUUAACGGGCUCAGGGGCCUCUCUUGUGAGUCUGAGUCCCUAGACCAGCUCUGGCCUGACCAGGAGUUCCAGACUGGGGGUGGAGGUGGGAACAAAGGGUAGGGGUAGGAAGAAAGCCCCAGAGGUUACUGCUCACAGCCCUUGGCACUCAAAAGAACAACAGAGACAAAAGAAAACCCACAGGUAGGCAAAGUUUCCACCAUCCAGUGGCCUGCAUGCCAGAAAGACCUCAAGGCAGGGUGACAGAGCAGAGAGAAGGAGAUGGGUUUCACAUCUCCCUGCUCCAUCCAGGAAAGCCCUCCUCUCUCUUCUCCUCCACCUCCCCCUUGCCUUGCUCUCAGUCAGGGCUACAUUUUGAAUCUGCCCAGCCUCCUCCCAACAGCCCAAACCCCUCCUGGCCAGGCAGGCAGAGGCAGGGAGGGAAGGCUGGGAGGCACAACCAUCUUUUCUCCUCUUGUCCUGACUGGGGCCCUGGUCUCAUCAAUUCCCACCGGGCUGGUGUAGGCACACACACUCCCACCAGGCUGUUUGCCAACAACCGCCCCCAGUUUGAAAAUAAACUCUUCCCUUCUCCUGCACCUGCUGAGCCCGCCCUGACCUGAUAGCUCAGCCAAUCUCAGGGCUUCCCCUAGAAUUCAAACUAAAGAGAGAAAGGUGGGGGUGCUGCCCCCCUCCACACCCUCCCAGGUGGCCUUUCCUGGGUUUCCCCUCGAGGAGGAGGUAACAAGACUCUCACUUGCCCUGAAGCUUGAUGCCCCGCGGCCCCAGCCACAUCGUUAGGACCUCCGGCAUACCACCCUCUGAGACCUGCCUGCCAUGGCCCAGCACUAAACCGCUCAGAUUAAGGCUGCAGCCAGGAUUAGGCAGAAGCAGAGCCAUUUUAGGGAGUCAGCUGCAGGACAGCACAAGGCCUCCGGGGAUGCCUGUGUACUAUUUUAAGACCCAUGCAGGACCCACCUGCAGCACCAGCCCAGGCCAGUCCCAUCCAUUAGCUGAUCUUUAGGGGGCCUGGCCCUCUCUAGCCCACCCCACAACGCACCUGCUCAGAAUCAGGCUGAGCCACCACUGGAGAACCGAGGGGACACCUACCCUGUCACCGCUUUGGCCCACUCCUGAACAAGUCUGGAAUCCCCUGGACUAGCAUUUAAGACACUGGGGGUGGGGCCAUGAACAGCUAGCAAUUCAGGAACCAGGAUAAGGCCAAGUGGGAGGUCUACAGAAAAUCAGGAUGGAGUCUAGGAGGCUUCGUGAUGAGAUCUAGAAAGAGGGACUAGAGAAUUAGGAUGGAUACUUGGGAUAGGGUUCCGGCAUCCUCUGGAACAGACCGCACGGAGUUCUAAAUGGCACAGCUACACCGUGCGUGUACGUAUGUAAAUGAAUGAAUCAACACUGCUUGGCGGCAGAGCCACGCUCACUAAGCAGCAUGGAAGCAGGGGAGUGGAGAUGAGGUUGGGACAGGGACAGUGCAGUUAGGAAGGGGUCUUGCUCCCAUCCUUCCCAGACCCCCUUUGUUGGUGCUGUCUCCCUACCGCCCCCCUGAGGCUAACUCUUACCAACGU